rnacentral:misc_RNA from 1 species
CUUUUUUUCUCUUCAAAAAAAAAGGCAUUUCUCUGCAUUUAUUCAAGUAGUCGAUUGCUACAAAAAGAAUAAAGCACCUAAGAGGAAGCAGCAGAAUGACCUUGGAGAAGUAAUGGGAAUACUCACCUUUCCUCUCAAGAAUUAAUUUGGCUGAUAAAAAUAAAUUUACAGAGUUACUAACCAAAUUCUACUUUCAGCUUUUGCAGGAAGGUUCUCCUGCCAAAGACGGAAAAACACCCUGGCUUGAGAACCAGAAGAAUCACCAUCCGUGCAAAGUGCCCCAAAUUCGAGGCCUGCACAAAGAAUAAAAAUUUCCUAAAGUUGGUUAAUUUUUACUGCUGCUCCCACAACCUUUUGGAUUUUCCGUGUUGUUAGAACCCCAUUAGAGAAAAUAUAGUUAGCAGAGUCAGGCUCUAGAUGAUGCUCCAGAGGCAGGCCAACCAGUUUCCUCAUCAAUCAUCAUGUUAUAUAAAUGUCAAUCUAACCUGCUCUCUGACCCUUGAAAUGAUGGGCCUCUGACUUUAAGACGCUUAGGCCCCAUCUCUAUAGGGGGCGGUUCCCUCAUGGUCUUCCCCAACUCAUGCGGGAACUUAUCCAAUCUCUGGUUUUCUCGUUCUCUGCUCAUUGUUUCAUCACUGACCAACUUUUUGAACUUAAUAGAGAUGGGAAUGAUACUUCCCCUGGCAAACCUGUCUCUCCAUGUACUCUCUGGAGCUUCCUUUCGAUGUAAAGUGGAUAAAGAAUUGUGAUUUGAUUCGUCAUCAGUUCGGCUGCAUUCUGUUGGCAUUGUUUGACCAUAUCUUCUUUCAAACUGAAGCUUCUUCAAUCGUUUCAGCCCCUGGAAUUCAAAAUUCUUUGAAGAAGCAUCAUCAUUCACAACUCUUUUUUCCACUUUGAGAGAAGAACGGCGCUUGACCCUAAAUAUCUCUGAAUCAGAAUCAUCACUUUGAUGAUCUGCAUUAGGUCUAGCCUCUGAAUCCUGAAGAUCACCAUGCUGGGUACUACUUGCGCAUUUCUCAUGAGACAAAGGGGAUAGAGCGGACUCGUGCAUGUCCUGUGAUUCUUCAUCAGAGAACUUUGUAGAUUCAGGAUUCCUAUUGGCAAAGUCAGCCCACCCCUUUACCUUCUUGUUGGCUGCUGAAGAGCUUUCAAUCAGUUCUCCAGAAGGGCAGAGUGUAGAUGCAGAACAAGCAACAGAUGUUUCUGAGACUUCAGGUCUAUCAUUUUCAAUGCCACAUACGAAUGUGGACUGGCUACGAUAUUGUGACUGAUCCUGAAGUGUCACAGCAGUCUCCGUGUUAAAGUCAAAAUUUAUCUCACAAUAAGGAGAAUAUCCAUCCUCUAUAACACUCAGAAAUUUGUUUGAUGCUGGAUAUGAAUACAAAUCAUCCCCACUUCUUACUUGCUGUUGGAUAUCCUCCAGCACUCUAUCUUCCUUCUCAAAACUCAUGGCUGCAGCUUCCAUGGCUGAAAUAUCCUCCCUCAAAAAUAAUGUAUAAUUUCUUCCGCAUGAAAAGUUAAGUGACUUAAAAUCAUGACGAAGGCACACAGGAUGCAUUUCGCAGCUGCAGUUAAGGAAAGAUACAUAACAGUCCCGUUUGCAUAAGCUGCAGAGAAUAGUUCCAUAGGUAUUUCGCAAAAGACCAGUACAUGCCCUUGAUUUCAUCAGAGACCAUCGAGCAUGAUGCAGGAAACGCAUCAGUUUGAUGAAAGAAACCUUAAUGCAAUGAUGAGAAAUCAAGUCUGCAGAUGAAUAAUCUGAAUCUUCACAUUCCAGGCUCGUAGAGAGAAUCAUAGCUUCUUUGCAAAGUAAUUCUUCGUGGGGAAGAAGAGGCACCCUGUUAAGAAUCGCAUAUCGCCAGCUAGCAAUAGCUCCCAUAGGAAACCAAUCACCAAUCGCAAAGUUCACAGCCUCACCACAAUUAAAACCAUGGCUAAAUCCAGCAUGAUAAGCUCUAGGGAAGGUGAUAACAAACUCCCCAGGCUUCUGCACAGCCUUGUACACAGGGACACCAUGUUCUAACAAUAUAUUUGGAGGAAACAAAGUUGUUUUCCCCAAAAGCACAUCAAAAGCUCCAUCCUCCCCAUCAGUUGAUAGAAUAUCAUGGGUAUAAACAUGUUCCCUGACCACUUUUUCAAAAUCUAAAGCUGCAUGACCUGGAACUCCAUACCAUGUUUUUGACGCUCCACAGUGAUGGUAAUUAAUACUAUAUAAAUAAUGAUCUUCCACAUGCCAAGCAAACAUACUAAAUAACAUUCCUAUGUAAAGCAUGGGAUCUGUUACCCCCGGAAUAGCUGUACCCAAAAGACGUAAAAUGGACUUCGGUAGCUGUGAAACAUUCUUCANNNAUUUGCUAUUUCCAAGUGGAUCACUGACAGAUGAUGAAAAGGCACUACCAUCAACAUCGCAUGCAUAUUCAACUGUUUCUGUCUUUCCACAAGCAAUUUCAUGCCAAAAUUCUUUUUCCAAGUAUGUUUCAGGAAGACAACUGGCACUGCAGUAUCUACGGGAAAAAAUCUUGUUCGCCAUUUUCUCAAAAUCACGAAACGUAUAGUUUCUUCCACUCAUGAAAAAGGUGACCCUGUCAUCAGUAUCCCACUCAGCAAGACGAAGGGGUUGCACUCUAGUUGUGAACUUGAAUCCUGCUUUCUCCCGCAUCAAUACAACCCCAGCUGGAACAGAAGCACUCAAAGGGGAAACGAUCUUGCAUAUACCAUAUCUUAAAGCUUCUGGAGCUAUUUUCUGUAAAUACACCAAAGGAUCCUCAAACUCCUCCUUUGUUGGAUGGUAUACAGGGCAUUCCGUGAUUUUCUCAGUCCAUUCCAAAUCACUUGUAUCAAACUUAUCGACCUUUCGCUUUGAAAAGGCAUCCUUCCCACUUGGAGCACCAUCGGAUGGAACAAAUGAUUCCACAUUUCUGUGUAAUCUAAUGCCACAUGAGGCUGAAGCCCUUAAAGCAUCGCCUCCACUUCUACUCAUCAUACCAGUGAUGCCUAUAGUUUCACUGACAGUUUCUGAUUUCAUUCGCUGAAGUCUUUUACGCUUCAGAAACUCUAACCCAUUUCUAGCCUCUUUGGACAAACAGAC